GAUGAACGCUGGCGGCGUGCUUAACACAUGCAAGUCGAACGAAGAUGCCGGAGUGCUUGCACUUUGGCAGACUGAGUGGCGGACGGGUGAGUAACGCGUGGGUAACCUGCCUUAUACAGGGGGGAUAACAGUUGGAAACGACUGCUAAUACCGCAUAAGCGCACGGUAUCGCAUGAUACAGUGUGAAAAACUCCGGUGGUAUAAGAUGGACCCGCGUCUGAUUAGCUUGUGGUGAGGUAACGGCCCACCAAGGCGACGGAUCAGUAGCCGGACUGAGAGGGUGACCGGCCACAUUGGGACUGAGACA
rnacentral:rRNA from 1 species